AUGACACUUCUGUGGUUGGCAGCCUGUGACGAUGCAGUUCUAGCAGGACCCAACUGAGAGUGCCAAUUCAGGACCAAUUGCUUAAACAGGGCAGUUACAGCCCAAGGCUGGGGU